rnacentral:misc_RNA from 1 species
UCCGGUUUGUCACCGGCAGUCUCCCUAGAGUGCCCUUGCGUAGCAACUAGGGAUAAGGGUUGCGCUCGUUAAGGGACUUAACCCGACAUCUCACGAUACGAGCUGACGACAGCCAUGCAGCACCUGUCUCCCGGCCCCCGAAGGGGAAGCGGUAUCUCUACCGUUGUCCGGGGAUGUCAAACCCAGGUAAGGUUCUUCGCGUUGCAUCGAAUUAAACCACAUGCUCCACCGCUUGUGCGGGCCCCCGUCAAUUCCUUUGAGUUUUAACCUUGCGGCCGUACUUCCCAGGCGGGGUACUUAAUGCGUUAGCUGCGGCACUGCAGGGGUCAAUUCCUGCAACACCUAGUACCCAUCGUUUAGGGCGUGGACUAC